UAUGUGUGUGUGAUUUACAAUCCCAUCUACCUGUCUUUAUCUGUAUCCUUAUCCAAACCUUGGCACCAUUCCCCAGAGAGACACAAAAUAAAAUGUUUACACACACACACACACACACACACACACACACAGUUCUGUGAUUGUGCCAGUCUCAUUGCUCUCCAAAGGGAUUUGACUGGGAUUAGUGUGUAAAAGCGAGUAUCCACUUGAUAACGCUGUAUGCCUGUUU